UCUUCCAUAGGUUAUUAUUUAAACUGUCAGUUUGUGGUACUGGAGAAUUAUUAGUAAUGGGGGAA
rnacentral:tRNA from 1 species